CAGUCGCCGCGGGAAUACGAAGGGUGCAAGCGUUACUCGGGAUUACUGGGCGUAAAGCGUGCGUAGGUGGUGGUUUAAGUCCGUUGUGAAAGCCCUGGGCUCAACCUGGGAAUUGCAGUGGAUACUGGGUCACUAGAGUGUGGUAGAGGAUAGUGGAAUUUCCGGUGUAGCAGUGAAAUGCGUAGAGAUCGGAAGGAACAUCUGUGGCGAAGGCGACUAUCUGGGCCAACACUGACACUGAGGCACGAAAGCGUGGGGAGCAAACAGGAUUAGAUACCCGGGUAGUCCCUGUCUCUUAUAC
rnacentral:rRNA from 1 species